CCGGUCAAUUUUCGGCCAAAUAGUUCACACCCACCUUGAUUUGAAUACAUAUCAGUGAUCCUCUCAUCGAAACGAAUAAAAUGAUGUAUCGUUUGUCAAUUUUGGUGAAGGUUAAAUUUUUCGGCCACCAUGCACGGCGGCGACGGCGGUGGUCCGGCGAGGCUCCGGCGAGACUCCGGCGAAGACCCCGAGAGACAGAAUGAUCUCCUCUUCGCGCGGAUCACGGACAUAAAAUCUGAUUUUCAAUCGGCUUAUAAAAUACAAAAUGCGAGGACAAAAGCUGGAAGCAUGUGGCUAAAAAAGGCAGUCCUUUUAAAGGACAAUAAAGAACUGU